rnacentral:rRNA from 1 species
AUGGUGGAAUAUGGAUACAAGUUCUCAUCAAAGAAAAUAAAACAGGAACUCCGGUACACAUGCAUCUCUACUUUUCGCUUCAACUUUUUAGCUUUUUGCAUUGCUUCCAUGGACGCCGCCGCCGCCGCCGCCGUCACCACCCUCUCCGCGCUCGCCGUCUUCGCCAGCCCGCUCCACCAAGGCGCCGUGCGGAGCGUGCACGGGUACAGGGUCGUCGCGAUGGGAGGGAGGUGCGCGUGGGACCGGUGGGUGGAGCGGGAGUUCGCCUUCUCCCCCACCUCGUGCCGCGAGGUCCCGCUCCCCGCCGCCGCGCCGCGGAUACUCCCGGUCGAGUGGCGCGGCCGCCCGGCGUACCGCGAGGGCCAGGUGCUGGGCGCCUGGCGCUGCAUCCUCGCCUUCGAUUCCAUCGCCGCCGUCCCGCUGCCGCCCAUGCCUCCCCCGAUGCUGUGCCCCUUCCGGAACCCGAGUCUGGUGUUCGUGCCUUCGCUGUACAACGACCUGUACAUGGUGUUUCAGUUUCAGAAAUUUCAACAGGCCCCGGAGCUCGUCAAACGUGAUUCGGAUGAGAAAUCGACCCGUUUGGAUGCAGAGGAUAAAACCUCGCAUGCUGAGAGACGCCGGAGAGCCAAGAAGCAGCACAUAGCUAGCAUCACUCUAGUUGACAUAGCCCCGUACUUCCAUCUUCCAAUCAGAGAAGCAUCCAGGGCUCUGAAGAUCGGUGUCAGCAUACUGAAGCAGAAAUGCAGGCAAUACGGAAUACCCCGCUGGCCUCACAGGAAGAUCAAGUCCCUCGAUUCGCUGAUUAGUGAUCUGGAGUUUGUGAUGGACGACACAGAUGGAGAUGUUGUGCAGAAGGAGACUCGCAGGCAGAGGGAGAAGGAGAAAGAGGAGAAGGAGAAGGAGAAGCAGGAGGCGAUCCGAGCGCUGGCUAAGCGGAAGCGAUUGCUGGAGAGCGAGAAGGAGAUCAUCCAGCAGAAGCCUGCCCUGGACCUGAUGGCUGAAACCAAGCUGUUCAGGGAGGACGUUUUCAAGAGGAGAUACAGAGCUAAAAGAUUACCUGGUCGAUGA